rnacentral:tRNA from 1 species
UAAAUGAAAGCCAAAGGAGAGGCGCCUAUCUGUUAAUUAGGAGAAUGUAAUUUACCUUACUCAUUUAG